rnacentral:rRNA from 1 species
AUUGAACGCUGGCGGCAGGCCUAACACAUGCAAGUCGAGCGAGCGGCGGACGGGUGAGUAAUGUAUGGGGACUGCCCGAUAGAGGGGGAUAACUACUGGAAACGGUAGCUAAUACCGCAUACUAUCGGAUAACCCAUAUGGGAUUAGCUAGUUGGUGAGGUAAUGGCUCACCAAGGCGACGAUCCCUGGCUGGUCUGAGAGGAUGAUCAGAAAGACUGGGACUGAGACACGGCCCAGAGGGGGAGGGCGGAGGCGGGGGGGGGGGGUGGACGGGGGGCGCAAGCCUGAGGGAGCCAUGCCGCGUGUAUGAAUGGGUGGCUAGGGUGUGACACUACUUUCAGUCGGGAGGCGUUCCCGACCCAAGAAGCACCGGCUAACUCCGUGCCAGCAGCCGCGGUAAUUC